CCGAGCUUUCAAGUCGGAAAAGUCAUUUGUGUGUUCUGCGAAAAUAAUUCCAGCGUCCGAUUAUAUACGUUGCGCAGAGCAAGGCCAAGUUGUUCGUUCGGGCUGGUUAUCGCCUAACAUCCGGCCGCCGACGCAAUAUCGCGACCCCCCUACAUCAACAGCACGCCCGGAGUUCAGCCCCGGACGAAGGACGCGGCCUGGACCCCGCUAUCCGGCGCCUUCCACGUAGCGCGGUGCCACGAACGACUCGAGCGGACAGCGUCGACGCUGGACCAAGGGCGAGGGCAGUGUUCGGCGACUCGGGCGUUUCCGCGGCCUUCCUGAUGCAUGAUGCACCUGUAGUACAACGCCUGGAGGCCCGGACGCUCGACCACGCAGGAGAAGCCGACGCUGGCCCACCUUGUGGUUCGCGCAUGCGCCAUCGCCCUCCGCCCUGCACGUGGUGGCCGCGCCGCUGGCCGUAACGCACGAGCUGGCGGAGACGCGGAGAGUGGCCACGGGGUCAGACGACGUCGGCGGCGUCUCGGACGGCGACGACGACGGCGAUGACGGUGACGCUGAAGGCGCUGAAGACGUCGCCAGCGUCACCGCAGUCCGCCGACGCCCGCCGCCUGCCGGCGCCUUCUGCGGCGUCUUUUUGUUUUGUUAUUUGAUGUGUAUAUAAUAAUGUUGUUCAAAUUUUGUUCGUCCACAUUGUGGUGCAGUAAAUGUGUUUUGUACAUAUGAAAUAAACAAUUUUAAUGCGAAA
rnacentral:lncRNA from 1 species